rnacentral:rRNA from 1 species
UGGGGAAUAUUGCACAAUGGGCGAAAGCCUGAUGCAGCAACGCCGCGUGAGCGAUGAAGGCCUUCGGGUCGUAAAGCUCUGUCCUCAAGGAAGAUAAUGACGGUACUUGAGGAGGAAGCCCCGGCUAACUACGUGCCAGCAGCCGCGGUAAUACGGAGGGGGCUAGCGUUAUACGGAAUUACUGGGCGUAAAGGGUGCGUAGGUGGUUUCUUAAGUCAGAGGUAAAUGUCUACGGCUCAACCGUAGUAAGCCUUUGAAACUGGUAAACUUGAGUGCAGGAGAGGAGAGUGGAAUUCCUAGUGUAGCGGUGAAAUGCGUAGAUAUUAGGAGGAACACCAGUUGCGAAGGCGGCUCUCUGGACUGUAACUGACACUGAGGCACGAAAGCGUGGGGAGCAAACA